rnacentral:rRNA from 1 species
CCCCUACGGGGGGCUGCAGUGGGGAAUCUUCCGCAAUGGGCGCAAGCCUGACGGAGCAACGCCGCGUGAGUGAAGAAGGCUUUCGGGUUGUAAAACUCUGUCUUCAGGGAAGAAAAAAAUGACGGUACCUGAGGAGGAAGCCCCGGCUAACUACGUGCCAGCAGCCGCGGUAAAACGUAGGGGGCGAGCGUUGUCCGGAAUUACUGGGCGUAAAGGGCGCGUAGGCGGUUUCUUAAGUCAGAGGUGAAAACUGUGGGCUCAACCCACAGCCUGCCUUUGAAACUGGGAGACUUGAGGGCAGGAGAGGGGAGUGGAAUUCCCAGUGUAGCGGUGAAAUGCGUAGAUAUUGGGAGGAACACCAGUGGCGAAGGCGGCUCUCUGGCCUGUUUCUGACGCUGAGGCGCGAAAGCGUGGGGAGCAAACGGGAUUAGAUACCCUAGUAGUCA